UACAGAGGUCCCAAGCGUUGUUCGGAUUCAUUGGGCGUAAAGGGUGCGUAGGCGGUGGGGUAAGUUGGAUGUGAAAUCUUGGGGCUCAACCUCAAAAUUGCAUUCAAUACUGCUCCGCUCGAGUUCUGUAGAGGAGAUUGGAAUUUACGGUGUAGCAGUGAAAUGCGUAGAUAUCGUAAGGAACGCCAGUGGCGAAAGCGAAUCUCUGGGCAGCAACUGACGCUGAGGCACGAAGGCCAGGGGAGCAAACGGG
rnacentral:rRNA from 1 species